GAUGAACGCUGGCGGCGUGCCUAAUACAUGCAAGUCGAGCGGUAAGGCCCUUCGGGGCACACGAGCGGCGGACGGCUGAGCAACACGUAGGAACGUACCCCAAACUGAGGGAUAAGCACCAGAAAUGGUGUCUAAUACCGCAUGUGGCCCACGGGCUAAAGCUCCGGCGGUUUGGGAACGGCCUGCGUCCGAUUAGCUAGUUGGUAGAGUAAUAGCCUACCAAGGCGACGAUCGGUAGCUGGUCUGAGAGGAUGAUCAGCCAGACUGGGACUGAGACACGGACCAGACUCCUACGGGAGGCAGCAGUAGGGAAUUUUCCACAAUGGGCGAAAGCCUGAUGGAGCAACGCCGCGUGCAGGAUGAAGGCCUUCGGGUUGUAAACCUCUUUCAGCACCGACGAAGCGCAAGUGACGGUAGGUGCAGAAGAAGGACCGGCCAACUACGUGCCAGCAGCCGCAGUAA
rnacentral:rRNA from 1 species